AUCGCUCGGGUGUCUCCGUCAUCACCUCGGCUAUUUCCGUCUCAGCUCGGGUAUGUCCGUCAUCACCUCGGCUACUUCCGGCUCCGCUCGGGUAUCUCCCGCCUAAUCGGUUAUUUCCGCUGUGAGGACCGAGGAGCUUGGCGCAUGCGCGCCGCGGCAUUUUCUCUGGCUGAGGCGGGCUCGGGCGGGCCUAGCGAAUUCGGGCGAGUCACGCAGACACGGGGUGUCCCCGGUGCCCCCCUCUGGCGCGAAACCUUCUCUCUCUAGGGUUGUGCCCCAGCCUGACCACGGCCCCAUUGUGCUGGGCGCUGCACAAACACCCAGGAAGAUGCAGCCCUUGCUCCAGCAAGUUUCCAGUCUGGGUCUCAAGAAGAGCUUGGUGCCUCCGCCCAAGGCAGCAAUGGCACCGAACAGCAGGAGAGCAGCUUGGCAUCGAGGCUGAAAGCGUGUUUCAGGUGGAAAUCUUGCUUCAAGAUGCUCUUGACCUUUGCAGCAACAAAGAAGCAAAAUCAAAAUAUUAAAUCUCUGGCUGCUACAGGAAUAAGCCUCUGUCAGAAAUCACCUACAGAACUCAACCAGCGUCACUGCAGUGGAUGAAUAAAUGAUCUCUGUCUUUCAGUUUGCAAAGUGCUCUGAGAUCCUUCCAGGUGAAAGGUGCUGUGUGUAAAUGUGCAUUAUUAGAACUAAGAUUCUUAUUUUCUGUUAAGAUCAUGAUAAACACAUAUUGAUUUCCAAUUUUUCCUGGAUUAGUUGUUCCCUAAAAGUGAGUAUUUUGCCUUUAAAGCAGGAGCGUGACAUACAAAUGCAACCCACAGCUAGGUUCUCCCAGUAACUGCUGAGUGAGGUAAAACUGGGUGUGAUGGGGUGGACUAGGUCCUGAGGCCCCCUGCUGGAGGCCUUGUGGCCCUGCCACAUCCCGCCCCAGAAAGGGCAGUAGAUAGGUCCUCCAAGCUGCCCAGAGCAGCUCUGUGGGAAGCUGCCAAUCAGGGCCCAGCAGGGCAGUAUAAGAAGAGCUGCAGGGCCAGAGCGAGUUUAGUUCCUUGCUGGAGAAGGAGGAGAGUGGCUGGUGCUUAGGGCUGGCCGCUGGGACUCUAUGAGGACAAGGCCUGGAGGUAAGGGUGAAGAAUGUGCAGGAACCAUGGGAAAGUGGCCAAGGGAAUUAUAGAAGCAACACUGUUUAUUUCAAGGGACCUUAUGAAUGGCUGCUAUCUAUAGGGUCCCUGGGCUGCAACCUGGAGUAGAGGGUGGGCCCGGGUCCCCCCCACUAGCCACUGGGAAAGUAGCCUGGACUUUGAGGCACCCCAGAAAGGGAACUGAACUGUAGUGGCCCAGCUGAAGAACUGGGGCUAGAAAGGCCCUGGGAGGGCAAAGACACUGUCUCCAGUAUUCUGGAGCAGGGACAGCCAGAGAGACAUUAUCGAGGGCACUGAGAGAAGCCCUGUUAGAUUUGUACCCCCAAAAGGGUUUGCUUUGCUUUUAAUCUCACAGACAGACUGUGUAUGACUUGGCCAAUGACCCACCACAAACAGAGAGAGAGAGAAAGCAGGCACUCGGGCAAGGGGUGCUCACGUGAGGUGAGUACAACCCCGUUACACUAGGCAACAGCAUAGCUAGAACGUGCUGAAUUCAAAUUACAAACUGAUUUCUGUUUGUCUCUUAAGGAGAAUAAAAAUUCCAACAAUUGGUAGGGUUGCUUCUGUUCAGUUUUUUAGGCAUAUCCUGUAUCUGCAAUCUAGGUGCCACCCAUGGCUUCCUCGGUUGAUGCCAUGUGGCCCUCAGUGUCAGAAAAUUUGGGCCUCCGUGUUUCAGUGGAUCUCUCUGAAAGUGGCAGCUACGGUCCGGGCCUUGUUUGAAGCCUGUAGUAACCCUUCCUCCUUGCAUCACUUCAAGCUGUGAUAUUGCUGCUUAUGCCCUGAUCUAAUCAUAGCUUUGCUUUAAAACCACAAAAGGGAAGACUCAUUGAGAGCUGUGUGGUGCUGUAUUUCACUGGCGUUCUC